rnacentral:tmRNA from 1 species
GGGGGUGACCGGUUUUGACAGCGGGCAGAAAGGGUAUGUAAGCAUGCAGAGCGUUGAUGGCUUGCUCUAUAAUCUCAGACAUCAAAAAUUUAACUGGCGAAAAUAACUACGCUCUCGCUGCUUAAUCGAAGUACAGUAGAUUAACUUUAUUCCGACAACAGUUGCCGGAACGAGACAUCACCCGGUUGCUGUGGUUCCGAAGCGUUCCGAACAGGUGGUGCAAGAAUAUCGGAAAUAGCGGAAGCCUCGCCCCGGGG